rnacentral:lncRNA from 1 species
CUUCACGCCCUCCGGUCUGAUGGGUGCUGCUGCUCCCUCUGGGUCUUUACUCAUUCUGGUCCCUUCACCUGAGGAAACAGGAGGAGGUGAGAGCUGUGUAGGGGACACAGCCUUGUGAGCACAGAGUGGCCCACACCCAGAGCAGCCUCACACAGGAACUGGGUCGACCUCUUUUUGUAUGAAAAACAACAAGCAAACCUUUUUGAAGAGAUGAGUUAUUCACAAGACAAAAACACCGAAGGGGUAGGAGAGGUUUCAAUGAAAACCCCUACCCAUUCUGUCCCCAAACCCCCUUGUCUCCUCCUCAAUGGCACAGAUGUCCCCCGUUGGUUGGGUCUCCCUGAGAUCGUCUGUGUUGCAUUGAAACUCCUUGAAAAAGAUGUGUUUCUGUGACUGGAUCUCCCAGCAGCUUCCUGUGAUGGCUGUGGUGUAAUCUGAAAAAAAGCAGAUCCGUUCAGAACUCCAGAAGGACUUGAAAACUGUCCUGCCCCGAACGAAAGCUGGAAUAUCGUGGGCUUUGAUGAACCAAGCUUCCAGUCUCAGGCUGCCCCGGGGUCAAGGGGAAGAGGUUACAGCUGCCGGCUUCAGGCCAACCCGUUUUCCUGGUCUUGCUGCUCGCCUCACUCAGCCUCCCCCAAGUCUGUUUCCUCAUUUAUAAAGUCGGGAUGCUGUGAGUGCCCGGGAGGAUGUUGUGGGCGCUGAGUGUGAUAGUGGAGAAAAGGGUUUCGCAGGCUGCCUCUCGUGGAGGAGGAAGUGCUCCAGAACGGACGAAGGUCCCUUUUUUUCCCUUUUAAUUCAUUCAGGACCCCAUUUAGAGGGCCUGCCGUGCAGCAGACUGUUUCCAAGACCUCAGACUGCCGUGCACCGGCCACCAAGUCCGCCUGGGAAAUGGCCUGUGACUCACCUUCCUGGCUGUGUGCAGCACCUCGCCCCUCGCAGAGCCGAUGGCUCCCCCCUCUGGACCGUAGCCCGCAGUUGAGGGCAGGCCGAUAGGAGGUCAUUUGCGUUGUCCCCGGUCCCCCCGACCCCCGGCUGGUGAGCCUGUUUAGAGCAAAAACCCUCUUACACAUCCUGAUGCCCCAGGGUUGGGCCUGUUGAAAGAACACGGGACUGAAUCAUUGAAAAGGCGGGUGUAGAGAGGAAAAGCCAGAGUGGGAAGCAAAGGGAGAAAGUUUUUAAAGAUGUGGCGCCAAGAGGGAGGCCGGGUGUGGUUUUUUUUCCCUUCGAUGAGAUGUUGAAAAGAAUAAGCGAUGUGCCGAGAAAAGGAAAAAUGAGCCCUGCUGCACCCGGGAAACCUCUGCAAGGGUGGGAAGUCGGGUGAGAAAGUGUGGACGGCGAGAAGUCAGGUGGAGAAAGCAGCCCAGGACGG